rnacentral:rRNA from 1 species
AUUGAACGCUGGCGGCAGGCCUAACACAUGCAAGUCGAGCGAGCGGCGGACGGGUGAGUAAUGUCUGGGAAACUGCCUGAUGGUGGGGGAUAACUACUGGAAACGGUAGCUAAUACCGCAUGCCCUCAGAUGUGCGCAGAUGGGAUUUGCGAGUGGGUGGGGUAACGGCUCACCUCGGCGACGAUCCCUAGCUGGUCUGAAAGGAUGACCAGCUACACGGGAAUGGAGAAACGGACAAGAAUCCGACGGGAGGCAGCAGGGGGGAAUAUUGCACAAUGGGCGCAAGCCUGAGACAGCCAUGCCGCGUGUGUGAAGAAGGCCGUCGGGUUGUAAAGCCCUUUCAGCGGUGAGGCGUUACCCGCAGAAGAAGCACCGGAUAACACUGUGCCAGCCGCCGCGGUAAUUC